rnacentral:piRNA from 1 species
UAAGUGGUAUUAGGUGGCCAUUCUGGG